AUUGAACGCUGGCGGCAGGCCUAACACAUGCAAGUCGAACGAGUGGCGGACGGGUGAGUAAUGUCUGGGAAACUGCCUGAUGGAGGGGGAUAACUACUGGAAACGGUCGCUAAUACCGCAUACCAUCCGAUGUUCCCAGAUGGGAUUAGCUAGUUGGUGGGGUAACGGCUCACCAAGGCGACGAUCCCUAGCUGGUCUGAGAGGAUGACCAGCCACACUGGAACGGAGACACGGUCCAGACUCCUACGGGAGGCAGCAGUGGGGAAUAUUGCACAAUGGGCGAAAGCCUGAUGCAGCCAUGCCGCGUGUAUGAAGAAGGCCUUCGGGUUGUAAAGUACUUUCAUCGGGGAGGCGUUACCCGCAGAGAAAGCACCGGCUAACUCCGUGCCAGCCGCCGCGGUAAUAC
rnacentral:rRNA from 1 species